AUUGGGAACCAGACAGACCAAAAUAGAAUAUUCUGAAUAUGAAACUUAGUGAUCUUGUUACUUUAUUUUCCAAAAUAUUCAAAUUUACUUCCCAUAUUUCACUUUGCUUAUACUGUAAAUUCAUUUUAUAAUUUCACCACUUUAUUUUUCACUUUUAGUAUUUGGGUUCAUUUACCUUAGUAUAUUCACCUUUAAAACAUUGUUGCAUAAAGUCGAGUUUGGAAAGGGUCUGUGCAGUCUAUAUGCCUGGGUAGAAUCUUUUUUGAUGUUGCAGGGUAAUUGGAGUCUUCCUGUGAGAACUCUGGCAAUAGCUUUUCAUUGUAGAGAAAACAAUGUCUUUGAGUGUAGUCAGCUGUCUGUCUGUUGCUUAGUGGGAAGAAAGAAGAUGUUAGGAAAGAUAGCAAAAAGUUAACCUCAAACCUGCUGUUAUGGACUUGACAGCUGAACAGAUGUUUUUUCUCUGUGGGAGAUUGUUAACCUGUUACCAGCAACUCUGAUCCUUCUUGAACCUGCUACAAUAUUAAUGGAGGACAACAGACAGGGCAGGCAAGUAUGUCCCAGGCCAAGUCCUAGGAGUUCUGUGUGGAAUGCUGACCUGCAGGAUCUUAUGCUGUCCACUUGCCUGUUAUUCCCUGCUAGAAAUCCCUUACUACAAAAGGAAUACCAACAGAAGUUACCAUUUGCUUUGCUACUGCAUCAUGAGGUACUACAGGCCAAUGGCCAUAUCCAAUUUGCUAAAGAGUCUACUGUAAGUGAUUCCCCAAAGCCUUUGGCCACAUUCUCGCUGGUGUGUGAUGAAGUGUUCUGCUUGUGAUCUUGUGGGCCAAGAGUACAACAUUGCUAUAUUUAACACUUCAUUCAGUCCAGCU
rnacentral:lncRNA from 1 species